rnacentral:rRNA from 1 species
GUCUACGGCCAUACCACCCUGAACGCGCCUGAUCUCGUCUGAUCUCGGAAGCUAAGCAGGGUCGGGCCUGGUUAGUACUUAGAAGGGAGACCACCUGGGAAUACCGGGUGCUGUAGGCU